rnacentral:lncRNA from 1 species
UUCUCUAUAAUUCUCUCCAAUACUUGUUUGUUGAUGUGAAUGCCGUUAUUUGUGAUGGUUUUGAUAGUAUUUUAUGUCGACGUUGUGGAACUGAAGUGUUGGUCGGUAUUUGAAAUUAGCUUGGGGACGAAAGAUGUCAUGCUAGCUCUUGAUGAUGGUAAAGAUGAGAUGACUGUGUAUUUUCUGUUCACCGUAACUUCCAUAAGAACGGCACGAAAAAGGUAUAUAGUUUCAGGAAGAUACCAAUUUUCACAGGACAUUUCGAAUUUCGUAAAAUCGUUUGAUUCAUUCCAUGACAUGAUAGAUGCAGUUGAUGCCAUUGCAGCCGUUAUCAAUCUUUCGAAUGAAAUGUGUAAAGAGAGGGUCAGAGAAGAUGAUGAUAUAAAAAUUGGAAAU